GACGUCGAUAUUCGACGUCAUCAACACGAACGAAUUUGGUGUUUAUGACGUCGAUAUUCGACGUCAUAAACACGAACAACUUUGGUGUUUAUGACGUCGAUAUUCGACGUCAUAAACACGAACAACUUUGGUGUUUAUGACGUCGAUAUUCGACGUC